rnacentral:lncRNA from 1 species
GACGCGCGCAGUGCCGGUGGGCACGCGUAGACGUGUGUGCGGAUCGGUUCUGUGCUUGACAUUCUCCCUCUCCUGCAAGUGGCGUUGCCUGGACUCUGCUUUAGGCUCCUGGAAUUGGUGCGGCCGGCCAGAGCACCCUCUUCGCUGGCGGGGCGCUAAAGGCUAUCUUGGAGAACAGUGGCGGUGGCGGUAGCGGCUGAGGCUGGUGCCUGGUGGAGCUCCAGACGCACACUCCGCUCCCUGUUGGACCCCUCUUCUCUCCCCUCCUCCCUUUCCCUCCUCCCCACCCCCGUUUCCCUAGCCCUACUCCUUUUCUUCCUCCUCCUCUUCCUCCUCUCCCGGUUCUGCAAUGCAAGUCUGUAUCGUGUAACAGGAUUGGCGUUGCAAUGGCAACUGAUGGAAUGGGGGAAGGCAAGACAUCAGGGCUGGGGGCUCCGGACUGCAGGCGGGCGGGCCGCUGCCGCCGCUUGACGCUCCUCUGGGGACCUUCGCGAGUUACUUUGUAAAGGAGAACCCAGGCGAGAUAGCCCUGCUUGGUGCCCGGGGUCAGAGGCCACUUCCUGCUCCUCAGCUGUCCAAGCCAGGCUCCACCGCGCGGUACCCCGGGCCCCCUGCCCGCGCCUGCCGCCAACCCAGCGCUCCGCCGCUGCCGGCGCUGCGGAGACUGGAGCCCGCUUCCCCGAAGAACACUUCGCCUCGCGGCUCCCCUUCCCAUCACCGCCCCCUGCUCCUCCCCGGCGUCUGCGAUUUUCUCAGGCGCCCGGUGUGAGUGCGGCGUGCGUGUGUGUCAGGGUAUUGUGUUUGUGUGUGUGUGUGUGUAUGAGUGUGGGGUGUGCUGGGCUCCUGCGCUCCGCUCGCGGCCGCCGCCUGGGAAGGACGGACGGACCGCGCUGCUUCCUUCGGCGAGCGGUUCCCGGGCACCUCGGCUCGGUCCGGAAGCGAGUGGAGCGCUCCUGGCUGCCCGCCGGCCUCCGGAAGGUCCCACUGCAUCCCCCCUGGGCUGGAUAUGUUCAUGUUCACGUGAAGAUGGAUUUAGUGUACGGUCUCGUGUGGCUGCUGACAGUCCUCUUGGAGGGGAUCUCUGGCCAAGGAGUGUACGGUGAGUGGAAUCGCGACGCUAUCGUGACCUUGUGAUUCUUAGGCAAGAUAGGCUGGUAAGCUAAAAUGCACGACUCGCGCCGUUCCAGGGCCCCUCCCGGCGUGGCAUUUGAUUUACACUUCAUCACGUUAUUGGGAGCGAUAAGGAGGCAGCGAGCGCGCUGCGGAUUGGGCUGCCGGCGGCUCCCCCGGCGCCUCGACUCGGGGCUCAGAGUUGGGUCAAGCCGGCAACAUCGCACUUCAGCGUCUGAGUAUCUUUGCACUUGAUUUAUCCCCGCGGGGGACAUGAGCUCUAGCAGUCUUCUAUUUAAUAAUGCUUUGGCUCCUUGCGUGCCGCGGUGUCGUUGCCGCGGUUUCCCCCGAAGGGAAGCUUCGAAUGUGACCCCCGUAAGUCUCCCCACCCCUCUCCGCCCCCCACCCCCGCCCGCCUCCUCCUUCUCUCCACCUUUUUCUUUUUCUGUGAAUGCCUACAUGACUUGAUUUUCCGGCUCAGGAAGUGGGGUGACAGUUGAGUUGCGUUCUGCACCAGCCGUUGCCAUGAGCACUGACUUGGGGAGGGGAAAUAGCAGGCAAGAUUCUCAGUGCCAGACACAAUUAAGGGACAUGUUUGUGUGAAUGGAUGAGCAAAUGCAUGAAUGAACGGACGACCAAGUCCGCGCGUCUCCGCUCCAGGGCAGGACAUCAGCUCGCUGUAACCAGAACACUAUCUCAGCUCUUCCCCAGAAAACCCAGAUCUGGAAGGGUUAGGACAUAACAAGCGUGAGCUUGUUAAUUGGAAGGUUUUGAAGUCCUCAGAAGCAAAUUCAGGUUCCUUUGCCUGUCAGCAGUUGGCACUCUUGGCUUUCGGCAUUGAAAACACACACGCACACACACACACACACGCACACACUCACUCACACACACAGGCUAGUAAUGGGCUAAAAUGUAAGUCCUCUCCUGGGACAAGCAGGCGGUGCCCCAGAGAAAAAGAACUUUUAUGUCUUCAAGUUAUGGUAUGAGGUUAAGGUUAAGGGGCAGCCUAUGGAGGAUAGCAGGCUAAGACUCGCCCACAGCUCCCGACCCUGCUUCAAUACCCAUGGAAUGUGUGCUGGAAAUGAAGCCCACAUUGUCUUUGGUUUCACUCUGGGGUUUAGAUUCCAGCAGUGCAGGGCUAGGUCAAUAACUGCAUCAGGGCCAAAAGGCACGAGUAUUUGCGGAAGUGUCAGAGUUUUCCCCGCAGACCCUAGAACUGACUGCGGAAUGGUCAUGGGUGCCAGUGGACCUUGAGUCCUCAAACUCUCUGAUAACGUGUAGUGCAGAGUGGGCGGAUGUUUGAGGAGGAAUGCGGGUGAGCAUUCCUGUGCCUUAUGUCCUGGGCUGAACAGUGCUGGGGAGUGGAAAGGGGUGGUCUGCUGCAUGAGAGCUCGGGUCCCUCCUGUGCUCCAUCUCCUACUCCUCUUUCCUGCCUUCUUCCUAGGUUCUCUCCUUGGCUUGGGUCAAGAAACCUUCACUUUCUGCCACCUCUAGGCAUCUUAGUUUCGGCGCCCCUCCCCCACCUUCCCAAAUGAAAGGACUUGCCUGGCAGCAGCGGCGGUUGUAGCGGCGGUAAUGGUGGUGGGUGUGUGUGUUUUGUGGUACUUGAGUGCGGGAGCAAGACGCUCAGUCUCUUCAAAGAUUGACUGGAGGCAGGCGGUGGGACUUGAAGAGAGGAGAAAUUCAUUUAGUGCUCUUGUGACUCUGCUGGACUCUUGUCCUCUGAACAGCUGUAAGAGGCUGGUAUUCUUGGGAUGAGGAUUGUUGGUGAUAAAGCCUUCUCAAAGGGCUAUUCCUUGGUCUUGGGAAGUCUGAAUCCCUCUCAUCCAUGUCCAGGUUUGCAUUUCUCUCCCACUGGUUCAGAUCAUCCUAGCUAAAAGGAGUUUGUUUUGCUUUUAAAAUUCUCUCUCUUUCUCCCUCCCUCCCUCCCUCCCUCCCUCUUUCUCUCUCUCUCUCUCUGUGUGUGUGUGUGUGUGUAUGUAGGGGGUUAACAAGAAGUGAUAAAAAUUGGGAAGGAGUGGAAUGCUGCAAGGGUGGCUGCAACUGCAAGGAUUAGAAGGGAAUGGUACCAUUUUCCUGUCACUUUUGGUUAGAUUGUUUGUCUUGAUAAAUCUCCUUUUGGGCAGUGGGAACUCAUAAGGUCCAGUAGUGGACAUAAAUUGAAAUCAAUUUUAUUAACAUACUCUUGAGCCUGUGUCACUUAACACUGAAGGAGAAGGUAGUUCCACAACUGAACUGGUGAUUAUGAGUAAGGUGGUGGUCUUUGUUUUAAUAUUGAUGUGGUUAUUAGUCACAUAACUAGGAAUAGAAUUGGCUUUGUGAAAAAAAAACAAUAUUAAUCACCUUCCCUGGCCAUCAUAAAUGUUACAGUUAUUUGGAGGGCUAAAAAUUCAUUUAUAUAUUUCUUUUCAAAUUUGUUUUACAUAUCACAGUUGUUAGAUUCUUAAACUGUGGCCUGGAAUCUUCAGCAUCAGCAUUAUCUUGGAGCUUGUUAGAAGUACUGAUUCAAGGACCUCUUCUAGACUUUUUACAUCAGAAACUCAGAGUGUGCUACUGAGCAAUGCCAGUUGAUCACCUGUGGUGAUGAUCAAGAUGCACUCUAAAGUCUGGAAACCCCUGACAUGGACUUAAACUUUCAUUGCCCUGAUGUUGUAAAUCAUGACCUUUCUUAACCCAGAGUUGUUUUAUUUCUUUAUUUAUGGGAGAAUUUAUAGGGAGAGAGCAGUUUGCUUUUAUUUAGUUAAAAAAGAUCAAUUGUAAAAAACACAGAUUUAAGAUUUAGUUUUAGGUUAGAAAACGUUUUUGAACAUCUUAUAUGAAGAUCUUCAUAAAUGAUUAAUUUUAAAAUAAAGCAAUUUUAAACAGAAACUUCAAAUACCUGGAUAGUAAAUUUGCUAGUAUAAAAGUUUUAUCCUUUAUUUGCCCAUAUUUGUCAUAUGUAAAACUUAUACUAUAAUACGAAACAUUAUUUCUUAACAGUAUUUUAGGUAGUUUCAAAAGGACAUAAAAAGUACUUUCUAGGUAACUCAGGCAAUUCCUUACUCUUUUACUUCUGGCUGACUAACUCCGAACAUGAAAUUCACAUUUUAGUAAAUUGAAAAUAUUUUUAUAAACAUGUGGAUUAUAUUGUCAAUAUAAUCUUCCUGUUGUGCUCAAUCAGCUUAGGAAUUAUGAGCAGCACUUAAGUGUAAAAGUUUCUGUUAUAGCAAGGAAUUUAUUUUCAUUUUUCUUGGAUAUUGUUUAGCAAUUUAACCAUAUGAUGGCUUAUAUUUAUAUAUGGUGUAGCAGUUGGGUAAAAGAGAUUAUCCUUUAACUGCCUAUCCAACAAUAAUUCUGAUGUCAUACUUUUUGAAAAUUGGAUUUGUUCUGUAUAUUCCUUACAUAUUUCAUUUCAGAUGUGAUAUUGCAGUAAUAAUAAUUAUUUGAAAACAUUUCUGAGAGAUUGCAAAAAUAUCUUCAUAAUAGAGCAACAUAAAAAAUCAUGUUCUUUUAAAUUAUUUUUCCUGGUACUGGAGAUUAAACCCCACAACGUUUAAUCACUAAGCUACAUCUCUAAUCUUUUUAUUUUAUCAUUAUUUUCAGAUAGGGCCCUGCUAAUUUACCAAGGAUGGCCUUGAACUUGUGAUCCUUCUGCCUUAGCCUUGUGAGUUACUAGGAUUUCAGGCCUGCACCACUGUACCUGGCUAAGUUCAUGUUAAGCAAUAGAUUCUACGUCCUUGAAUUUUAAAAAAGUUACUUACAUUAAGAAUUUUCCAAAAAUACUCUUAUAACUUUCAAGUAUUUCUUGGAAUUUCUUUUGGUUUAAACACAACUGAAAACCAAAAGUCAUAAAACAAGCAUUUCUGGCCUUAUUAAUUUGCUGCACUCACAUUGCAUUUUAUUUAUGAUAACAAAUUAGACAUAGCAACAAGGAUAAGAAUACAAACUCCAGUUUAUAUUCUUAGUGAUCUGAAGUAUUUUACUGAUAUCAAAAUUUUCCUUCAUUAUUUGUUAGUAAAUUGUUUGGACUGCUAAAUUGUGUUUUCUAGAGGUAAUAUUGAUAAUAACUUAAAAUUAAGAAUCAUACUUCCUGUAAACUGUUCAGUUGGCUUCCCCCAAAAAAGGAAAAAUUCCACUGAUCCGUACUGUAUUUUCAUUUCUGGUCAUUGUGUUCUUAAUGUCCAAGGCUGUUACUAAAACCUUCUGAUUACAGUAGCAAAGAAAAAUCCUCACUACAAAUGAAAAACAAAAUAAAACUCCAAGUCUGGAUAGUUUUUGUGGGAAAUAAACCAAACAAUUACUUGAUAUCCUGAAAUAGUUAAUAUGCUGUUCAAAAUUGCUUCCAAUAUAUAUAUUAGAAGGAACACAUAGAGAAAUUUUAUCAAACACGUGUUUGACGCAUUAGCAAUCUGUAUUAAUUCCAAUAACAUCAAUACAUCUCCCACAAUUUAAGCAUGACACCCUACUCAGUAGCUGGACAGAAAGGCUUGGUGGAAUUGAACACAAGGAGAUAAGUGAGAUCGGAAGGAUCUCAAAGAAAUUUCAGACUGUGGGUGGGUUGGAUUUGUUUGACAGAUUGUCUUUUUGGCAGGAUAAGGUUACUAUCAAAGGUCAGCAGGCCAUCAUGGCCAGUCUCAGGAUUUUGCCAUCAAUACAGCAAAGUCAUCUCUAGAUUCAUUGCUAGGAUUUUGUCCAGUUUGGGUUUGCAAAGCCUUGAGACAGGAUACUGCUUUUAAAUGAAUCAUCUUUAGGGCAUGAGCCCAAAGAGGAGGAGGAGAUGACUUCAGUAAACACUGCUAACAACAAUGUGAAGCUUUGUUAUACAAAUAAGCUCUGACCUCUCUUCCCACACCUCACUGUUCCUACACUCAAACAGACAGGGUUAUAUUGCACCCUCCUUGGCCACUUGAGCUGCCCACUGAAUUUUGUUAUUAUUUUUUUAUCCAUUCAAGCUGGUUCUUGCUGGUUAUACAUAUUUUCACAUGCAAAAUGGGCAGAUUAUUUUAUUUCGUGUUACUGGCUCAUGUCCUAAAAUUCCCUGGGGAAGCCCCUAAAUUUGAUAAUAAGUACUUUAGACUGAGCAGGUUAUAUGUCAAGGCCAAAGAAUCAUUUAAAGUGAAUAAGGCAGUGAUGGUGCCAGGGUUCUGACAAUUAGUCAGAGGUAAAGGUUUAGAGAUUAAAUAAUUUUGAUGAAUAGAUACUACAGAAGAAAUUCUACAGAGGCAUUUUUCAUUUUCUUACUUUCUUUGAUUAAUUAUAUUGUCUCUGAAUCUGAUUCUUCAUAUUUGCACUGUGUCAUUAUAAUGAUUUUUGUUUUAUAAUUUCUGGACCACCUUACACAUUUCUCGAGAGGCAGGGUACCAACAAAAUUUUCUGAAAGAGGGUGCUUUGUAUUCUUUACAAAAAUGUCUUGUUUUAAUGUGAUUUGGGUAGAGCCCAUGAGGAGGCAACUGUAGCAUGUGUCUCAUGGGUUCAGUUUAUGUCUUACUAAGACCAUGCUAGGAACUGUGGUCUAGGGUUGCUUUCCAGGUAUACAGGUGAUUCAUCACUCAUAUUUUCUGGCUUUGUCUUGGAGGUUUGCGAAGAGACUUCCAGAAGUUGAGUUUAAGGCUUGUGACCCAUAAAGGCAACUGCAAUGAGCCAGGUAUGCUAGCCUCAAUAUGGAAUUGAACUUUAGAGCUUGUGGUCUUUGGCAGGUAAAGUGUGCUAUUUGCUUCAGGUUAAAUUGGGGAAGAUCUUCUUUACUCUCCUUGUUGGGUAUUUUGCAAGGAUAUGCAAAGUAUUAUAUUGAAUGUAUUUCAAGUAUGAAUAGGUGAGCAUUUUUAGUUUCAUUAUAAUUGCUAUUAACUGAAUAGUCCCACAGAAUGAAAUUUCAUUUCUUUGCUUCAGUGACUGUCAAUGUAAAUAUAUUAGAGAAGGCUGAAUAAAUGAUUGCAUUCAUAGAGAACCGUGUCCUAUUUUUAUUUUCAAAUCCAAUUAAUAAACUUUUGACCCUGCCAAAUCAUAAAGUUAUGAGAAGAGACUUUAAAAUAUCAUUAAAUUAUCCCACUAAUUUAAGAUACAAUGGUUUUACCAUUAUGCCAGGCAGUUGGAGGUCUUAUGCUGUAUGUGAAAUAUCUUUUUUGUAGAGUUCAGGCAUAUUCAUUGGAUUUUUUUCAAAUUACUGAAAGCUCUCAUGUUCUAUUGUUGGGGUACUCAUUUAUUUUCUGGUUUAUACCAGUACAGAUCUAUUUUCUUUCCUUAUUAUCUUACCCUUCACCAGUCUCAUGCAAGAUCUUUUUUAUAUCAGUUUCUUGCUACUGUUCCAAGACACUAUGUCAUUUCUAAUCUUAUAUUUUAAAAUACUAUUUCCCUUCCUGUUGAUGUCACCGAUUGAAUUGAGUAAAAAAGAUGAUUUCCAUUUCAUCAUUUGAAUCAUAUAUUCUCCAGGAGUUUAUAAUCACAGAAGAAAAUUUUAACUAUUAGGUACCUACCUUUUGACUACCACACAUUUCCUGUAAGUUUAUUAUUGAACACAUCUUAUGGUAGGAUGAAAGAUAUUAGAAAUUUUAUCUUGUAACUUAUUGUCUUUGACUUUUAGUAUGCUACCUCUACAACUUUGCACAACAAUGGGGGCGGGGCUGGGGUUGUAGCUUAGUGGCCAAGUGCUUGCCUAGCACAUGUGAAACUUUGGCACUGGUUUCCAUCCUUUGACCAAAUAAAAAUAAAUAAAGUCAUGCUGUCCAUCUACAACUACAAAAAAAGAAAAAAUAAAGAUUAAGAGAUAUCAGUUUGUUUUUGGCCAAGUCUAUAUAUUAAGGAGUUGUGUUGUUGCUCGAUAGUAUGUCACAUACUUGACCAUAUCUGUAAGCAGUAUACUUUUUGUCUUACUUUGUUGUAAUGAGAAUAGAGGAAAAUCAGAUAAUUGAGAGAUAUCAUGGAAAGGUAAACACAUCUGCCUCAAGAGAAAGGGUUGGUUCACAGCUAGUGUCCCGGAGUCCUACUGGUCAUAAGGCAACUGAGAUCUGAAAGAAGCAAGUGGAAGAAAAAUGCAUCUGCCCUUUAAGCAAUGGCAAAGCAGCAAAAUCAUAUUUUAUUUUCUGAUGUAACUAGAACUUUGCUCAAGUGCAUCAGAGUAAGAAAGAAAAAUGCCUGUUGUCUGGCUGAAGGACAUCUUCAGGGAUAUUUUUCUGGUCUUCCGAAGGGAAAGAUGAAGGUAUGUGGAGCUCUUAAGUAGAACUUGUGGUUACUGUGACCAGAUAAUUUUUCCUGAUGAUUAAUUGUAUGAUUUGGGAACGUGGCACAGAUUAAACAUUAGGGCCUUCUGUUUUUUGCUUCUGACUGUACCUGUAGUCCAUACCGCUCCUCCUGUGGCCUUCUCACUAUAAGGCUACAAUGAAUAUCCUAAGAAGGAUAGAAAAUACUUGAGGAUGACAUACUGCUCUCCAGAUAUUGUUACCAGAGGGGAUUUUACACAAAUUAAAUGUUAAAGUCGGGUAAUUGAAAAUCAACAAAUUAUUACAUAGCUGCUUUGUAUGAUUCAUGUAGCUAUGCAGUAAGGACUAUAAACUCGAAGAUGUUACAAGUUGAUUAAGGAGAUAAAAUCAAGUGGAAACAAAUAAAAUAGGGCUCUGUAGGAAAUACAAAUGUUCGGGCCUAAGUAAGAGAGGGCAAUUACAGUUGCUAUUAGAGAUAGAGAUAGAUAGAGGAAGCUUGAAAUAGCUGGCAGAUAUGUGAUUCUUUGAUACUUGGGAACUUGCUCCCAUAUUUAUGUCCACCAAUAUUCUGAGUUGGUGUGUAUCCAACAGGAAGCCAACUGACCUGUUCUUUAGCAGAGAGGAUAGUGUCUCAAUCUGUGAGAUACUGAACCCGCCCCAAAUCCAUAUGGAUUUGGGAAACUUGAAACUGCAUGGAGGCUCCUUUUGGAGUUAAAGUAGAAAACUUUCCAAAGCUUUAGAGUGCUAAGAAGAAGUGCUGCUUAGAAGCAGCAGAGCAUGUGUCCAGAAUGACUUAAAACAUCAUGUUGUGCUUUGCAAAGGCACAGCCACUAAGAUGAAUGCAUUGCCCCCUUGAAAAGACAGGUAUAUGCUUUCAUUGUGGUUUUUUAUUCCCCUGCCUGUGCAGCUGGAAACAGUCGGGUAAGUUAGGCUUUCUUCUUGUUCAGCAGCUACUUUACUGUGUUUUCCCAGGCAAAACCUUAAUCCGUGUACCCCAGUUUCUAAAUCUAGUAAACUUUUAGAAUAGUGGGCUGUUGUAAAGAGGAAAUGUAAGAAAUAGCAAAAGUUUUAAAAGUGUGUCUGCAUUUUUAUACCUGAGAUUGAGGAGGAAGAGCUUGGAGAGGUCAGGUCCUCUCUUAAAAAGUUAUGCUCAGAUGCUCCAGAAAGUGAACCGCACAAUGGAAUUGCCAUUUUAGUUUUUAGAACAGAAUAAAGGACUAUGGAGUAACAAAAAGCAUGAACAAUUUUCUCUGGAAAUAAUAUCCAGUGUGUCGGUCUCGCAGAAAAUGACUCAGGAGGUGUGUUUUUAAACACUGUAUAAAGCAUUAGUAGGUGCAUGAAACUUCUCUCUGGAAUUGUAUUUUGUAUGCACAUGUAGUUGACAUUGCUCCUGAAGGAGCUAGCUGCCAGCGCUCAAAUGAUCCAAGGAUUUCUUCUGCCCCUUAAUAGUGCGGGUCAGCAGGAAGCUGGUAUUCUCCCUCAUUUGAGAGCUCCAAAGAACAUUAUUGUAACGCAAGACUAUGGUCAUGGGUAAAUUUAUGCUUAUGUAAGUAUACAUGUGUGUUGAAAUAUAUGUAUAAAUAUAUGUAUAUCAAGAAGCAACAAUAUUCUUUAUAUCCUCUAUCCUGAGACUAAUUGAAAAGUAGAAGUAUAUAAAAACAAGUCAUUUGGAUGAGAAAAAAGGGAAUAUAUUUGUAAGAAUACUUAGUUGUACUUUACAAAUAAAAGCAGAAAAUAAGGAAAAAUAAUUAAAUGAGAUCAUCAUAAAUUUAUUGUGUAAUGUCGUUUUUUUGAUCUUACAGUGAAAAAAUUACUGUUUCCCACCUACUCAUUUAAAAAUCUUUUUAAGCUAAGAAUUAAUUGAAAAUGCUGGGUCCUCAUUCAGUGUUAAACUGUGACAUCCAUAUACAUAAGAAAGCAUUAUAUAUAUGCUGCAUUUUUAAUAAUCUUUGGAAAACACUUUCUACUUUUUGAGGAUGAAAGAGUUCAUUUCUAUAAUUCAUGUUCAUAUUCAUAAAAUGUCAGGAUAUUAGCUGUAUAUUGGUUGUGCUUGUUGAUCAGGUAUAUCUUUAAUCAAACCAAGUGAUCUUACUCAGGACUGUGAGCAGAUGAAAGAUUAAUUGAGAAGAAUUUCUCCAUUUUAUGGAAUGAACAAAGUUGAUUUUGUUUAAACAGGUAACCUUGAGCAUACAAUAGACCCUAUAACAUGUCCAGAUAGAACACCCAUGUAGUUUGGGUGUUCCUUGUCAGUCUUAACCUCAGCACCUCAGAAUUUAUGAAGCUAUUAUCAAGAACCAAUAGAGUUAAUAUUUUUAUUCUGUUUCUGUAUUUGUUCUUUGCUUUUUAUGACUUACUCUAGACCAUUAUUGUGAUUCUGCCUUAUCUUUGUAGUUAUUUUUCUUUUGGUUCAUGUUUCACAUUGAUCUGGUCCGCCUGCCUCCUUUCCUUGUAUCAAAGCUGCUAUAUUUAUUUUAAAGUUUUUCAUCUGAGUCCAUAAUUAAUCAAAGCUCAAUCUUUGGUUAAUCAUGGAUUCAUCUAAAAAUGUUUUGAUGAAAUGGCAUCUCUUCUCCAUUAUGACCUAUUCCUAUGGGGUUGUCAGUUAUAUAAUGAUAUCACCAUUGUGAAAACAAGGGUCUGGGAACCUCCCAGUCUGUCCCUAAGACAAGAAUGAUUCCCAGUGGGCUGCGACCUGAAAUAAUCUGCCUUGUUGCUCAGAGGCUGCUCAUUCUGAUUAUUUCCUGUGCCUCGCUGGCACAUCUCUCCAUUUGCAGCAGCUGGCUUUUACAGUAGCCGUCUUCCCGCUCACUGUGAUUUUGCUGUUAAACUCUAAUAUCAUUAUAUUUUGUUGGUUAAUAUUUUGAAAAAUUUGUCUGUCAUCAUUGAAAUUCACUUGUUAAUGUCCUUGUCCUCUGAGCAUACUAUGACAAGAAGUACUUUGAAACCUUUAUGUUUAACCAUGUCUCCAGUUUCAAAGAAGGGCUAAAGAAGAUACACAGACACACAGGCAAUCUAUAAAUAUGUAUUUGCAUAUAGAGUGUAUGUAUAUUUACUGUAGAAUGUAUUAAUAAAUAUAAAUGGCUUAACUAUGUAAGUAUAUACGUAUGAAUAUGUAUGUAUUCAUAGAAUGGGUCUCAUGGAGUGAUAGCUGAACUUUAUUUAGGUUCAACUCAAGGAACUGGGAGGAUUUCCUGCUUCACUUGCAAAGCCGACCCUGAUUUAGUGUUGGCAGCAGGGUAUGUAAGCCCUCACCUGACCUUCAUUUUUUAAAAAUAUCUUUUAUGAUACACUCAUGUUUGUAUUGUUCAUGAGUUUAAAAUAUUGCUGUUAGAAACUCAUAUUCCUUGUCUUUCCUUCUUUAUUUGAAGGAGAACUCUUUCUUAGCUGCAUAACAGCAAUCCAUGUGGAGUUAUUUUUUGACCUGCACUGUAGUGAUAUAUACAUUGAAGCCCAUCAUCACUUGUAUACUGAGAACACUAUUCCUGCUGUUGUAUUAGUUACGCCUUUUCCAUGGUCUUUCUCUUUUUCAAGUGAGUUUUUAGUGCAUCAAGUGUAUCUGUGUUUCACACAUGGGUACAAAAAUAUACCCACAAACCAAAUUAAAGUGAAUUUUAUGGAGAUCAUUUUUUUUUUUACUGAAAACUAAUGUACCAUAGGAUAUAGUGUAUUUUAAUAAAAUAAUUGCUAUUUAGCAAGUCACUACUGUAUGCCACAGCUGUUAGGAGUAUUUUAUACUUUAUGCCAUAAUCUCAUCUUUGAAUGAGAGAGAUUCAAAAUCUGAAACUCAGAAAGUUUAAAUAGCUACCCUACAGGUGCUGGUAGCUAAUUUAGAAUCAAAUCUGACAUGCAUAUUCAAAUAAUUAUUUAUAUACCUUAUAUGUAUUAUUUAAAUUAUAUUAAGAUAUGAGUUACUUAUACUUAUUAUGAUUAAAAUAUACAAAUUAGCAAGCUCCAAUUGUGCUGUGUACAAAACUUAUCUCAACAGCAUAUAUUUGAAAUACAAUUUGGAUGAUAAACUUUACCUUUUUGCCCAAGAAAUAUAUAUAUAUAUAUAUAUAUAUAUAUAUAUAUAUAUAUAUAUAUAUAUAUAUAUAGCUAAUGUCAGCACUUUUCAUACCUAGAGUUUUCUUUCUUGGAAUAGAAAGAUAUGAUUCAUAUAUAUAUAUAUAUAUAUAUAUAUAUAGAGAGAGAGAGAGAGAGAGAGAGAGAGAGAGAGAGAGAAUAUUAAAAUGCCCAUAGUGAGGAUUCUUUCUGGUAUAAUGUAUUUUUGGACUGAUAGAUAUUUUAAGCUUAUUCAUAAUUAGUAACCCAUAAAAAUGAAGAAAUGGUUCUACUAUGUAUUUUGCAGAAAUGGUUAUAUUCCUCCAUGUAAAAUAUCAAGCAUGUGCUUAUAAAAAAUAACCACUGUCAGGUGUACUGCUUUAUGUCCCCCAGGCUGAUUAACAAUCACUGGCCUUGGAAAGAUUGAUAGUUAAAUGUCAUAUUUGGCCUGAUUUUUGCCUUGAGCUCCCUCUGGGUAUUGCUUGAGCAUUUUUCGCACAGAGUUAAUUGAGGAGACUAUAUCAGCGCAUUUCUUUUCUUGAAAAUCUUGUUGUGUUCAAGAGGACAGUUGAUUGCAAGCUCGGCCCUUCUCUUAGCCAGUGAGUGAGUUCCUCAAACCUCAAAGCUUACAAAUUAGUGCAGUUUAGUGAUUUGUUUUAGGCAGUUAGCGACAGGAUCUGCUACUAUAAAAGUCAUUUUUCCUAUGCUUUUUGAAUGCAGUUAUUGUGUCAUAUAGUAUAACCCUGUACCACUCCAGCUAUUGUGUGAUUGAUACAGAAACUGCUUCGAUAGGAAACCAUUUCAAGAGAGAACAGGAAAGGUAUUAUAUUCAGCUGUAGUGCCAUGCAUUUCUAAGCAGCUGAUGUUUUCUUUAACUGAUAACCAACCCCCAAAUUUUCAGAGGCAAUUGACUCUUUAGAACUUUAACUCUUAAUUCAGUCUAGCUGCAAGAGCAGUGCCCUGAAAUUCAUUAUACAUUCACAUUUCACAAUUGGGAAUUCAUUAAUUCUGUAGUGUAACUAUCUUGAUAUUGUAUUUUAAAGGCAGAUCUUCUUAUUUUAAAAACAUGGAGUAGCAUUGCUUUUGUGAAUUCCUUCUCUAAACAGUGACUUCUUAAUACCUGAGCCAAAUACUUAAAGCUAGUGGGAUAUGACUUUUUGCACAUUGAAACUGUGAUAAUAUUGUCUAGUGGUGUGACCCCCAUGUCUUUUGUAAGCAAAUAUUACAAAUUAAACUGCAAACAUUUGUGAAGGAAUAAAGUAAGAUGAGUUAAAUACAGGUUCAGAAGUGUUUAACAGAUUUUAUGUUUCUGCUUUUUCACACGUUUAAUUCUAUGUUUGGAAGUACUUACCAAAUAUAGUACACCCCCUUUUUAUGUCUUGCUCCAUUUUCAUUUUUUUUUUGUUUUAUUAUACCUUAUAUUUAUGCUGUAUUUGGGGUUAAGGAGAGUAAUGACUUUAUCACUGAGGUAUAAAAUGAUAUACCUAUGACUUAAUUGUAUCUAUAUUUUAUGAUUUAUAUAACUAUUUUUAUUAAUAGUAAUUUAAUUGAAUGUUUAUAAACAUGGAACCGAUAUUCUUAAAUAAAAUAGAAGUUGAAAUAUACAUCUGAAAAUGCCAUUUAUAUAUAUUUGGUUUUGACAAAAGUGAAGAUUCUAGAUAGUCUUAAAUUUUUUUCUGUAUUUGAUCAAAAAAUAUUUUCUGGUGGCUUAACUAUUGACUACUCCUCGUUCAUAUUACAUAGCUCUCUUCUUUCCAGUAAUUACUAUGACACUGUAGUGAUUUUCAUGUUAUUAAUGAAAGACUCAGACUUUCUUCUGAUAAGAAGUUAUCAAUAAAGCAAAUGAUGAAACUAGUAAGACAGACUUCCAACAUACUCUUGUGCUCUGGCCUGGGAGACUGGACUUGAAGUUGCAUGACAGGUACACAUGUGUUGGCCGGGCCAUUAGUCUUAGCCCAGAGAAAUAAACAGAAUGGCAAGAAUUGAUUUAUAUUUAUCACAGGGAGAUGAUAGAAGGCUCCCAGCUCACGAGAAUUAGUUGGAUAGAUCAUAGUAGGAUGUAAAGUCUGUGUGUCAUAGGUUGGCUUCUUCAGAGAAGGUGUACAUGCAGGUGGGUACUCUCAAAAACCAAAAUGCUUUUGAAGUAUAGAGAGAGCCCAGGAUGAGUGAAGGCAAAGGUGAACUGAGCAAAUGACAACAAAAUCCUAACCUGAGUGAAUGGGGUACUAUGAAGCUAAGAUGGAUUGGCAGACAUGUCCCAAAUAGAGAAAAAUGUUUCUUUUCCUCCCUUUUGUACCCAUCACUAUACACAGGCUGCUCUGGGGAGGCACAGUAUUUCUGAGUAAGACAAAUACCUUUGGUUGAAGGCAGGUUCUGGGAGGAACUGCAUGUAAGCAGUUUUCAGGUAACGUUCAGGUAACAUUGGAGAAUGAAUGUGUUCUGAAUGAUGCAUCUCAUCUUCUAAAUUUCACCCUUUAAUUGCUCACAUUUUCUUGCUUAUAUGUGUUUAUCUCAUCUGAAAAUUGAUUAGCUAGAAGAAGGCUUCUUUUCUUAGCCUUAGAAGAGUUUGUGGGGAGAAAUUCAGCACCUGCUGUUGUACCUGGUCUCAGAACUGUGACUGAUGUCCCUCACUCCCCACCCCUUUUCUAGUAGCCUUUCUAGAUCCUCCUUAUUCUCAGCUAGUGACUCUGAUGGAUGAGAUGGAGUCCUUGAUGGAGUGACUCGGAAGGGGUCUUCUCAAGCCACAGCUAGCUGAUGCCUUUGUCUAUUUUUUUUUUUUUUGGUCAGAAUUGGGAAAGGGAGCACUAGUCAAUAUGAUUGUGGGUCAUCUGGGCAGCAUAUAUCUUCUCCCUGAUCCCAUUGUAUAACAUGGGUCCUGACUUGUACAAAACAUCAGGAAUGAUUAUCCCUGCCUGAAAGGGAACACUUUUCUUUCCCUGCUGUCUUUUGUAAAAGGAGCCCAAACUGAACAAGUGAUCUUGCAGGAACUGUUCUCACUCUGGGACUCAAGACAUAUUGGCCAUAUAGAGCCUAAAAUUCUAGGGCCAGAAAGUACAGAUACUCUCUCUGACUUAAUGUGAGGUAACUAAAGGCCAUGUCUACUUCCAACUCUUAACUAUUAGACCUGUGUCUUUACCUAUUGGGGACACAGCUCUACAAAAUGGUUGCUAAUUAGGGCUGUACCAUAUCAUAGAGUUGUAGUGUCCAGUCCACUUGAGGUAUCAACUCCAAGAUACUGUAUCAGCUGCUCCUUCCAAAAACUUCUAUCAUUCUGUCAGGCCAGCAGCUUUUGAGUAGAAUGUGAUAUUAUAAAACCAGUAGACUCUAUGAUCACAUAUCAAUUGCUGCAUCUUCUUUUCUCUUUCGAUCCCUUUGUAUAAUGUUUUGGUAGAUUAUGUUUUCAAAAGCGCCUGAUUUGAAAUUUUUACUGAGGCCUUAUAGACAGGUAAGGUAAACCAAUACCCAGAAUGUGUUUCAGUUCCAACCAAGAUGAAUUUAUAUUUCAGGUAUAAACAGAGUCCAGUGUACUCAGUUGCCACCAAGUGGCUGACUAGUCUCCUUUAGAAAUGGUAUGUAUCCAGGGUCCCUGUGGGUAGCAGGUUGUAAAUUUACCAGCAGCAUUGGCUAGGUCAACCUUGAUGAAUGGGAGCCUUGCCAUUCAGUGUAGGCACAAUGUCCAUACUUUCCACUGUGGUUUCUUCCUUACUGUAACCAGUGAACCAGCAUUAGAAUGGUUAGUGGCAAGCUGAUUAAAGUCAACUGGUCACGUCAUUCUGUAUGCUUAGUUAUUUAUGGCUUCAGUCUCAUGGUCUUACUCUGAAACAAUCCAUUCCAAGUUAGUGGUAUAAAGGAUCUCUGUGGUAUAUUCAUGGAUUCUGUGGGCCAAGAGUUCAUAUCUGGGAUGAUCAGAAUGGCUUACCUUGCUUCAUAAUUUCUAGGUUCACACCUGGGAAUACUUAAAGUUGGAUGGUGACUUCAUAUCAGGAGACUGGAGUCAUUUAGCAUUCUUACCACUUACAUGUGUGGUGUUUAAGAUGCUGGCUGAUGCCUGGAAUGUCCACUGAGUUGGAAGGUGAAACACGUGCAUAUGAUCUCUCCAAUGGGCCUUCCCAUGGUUUGGGUUUCCUCAAGGUAUUAUGGCAGGAUCCUAAGAUCCUAUGACUUAAGAGGUUGGAAGCAUUUUCUUGGGAUUGUGCUUUGGAAGUCAUGUGUAUCAACUCUAUUGUACUCUUUUUUUUUGAAGCAAAGGUCCACCCAAGUUAAAAAGAAAGGUAUAUAGAUCCCAUUGCUUUAUGGAAAUAGUUUCAAGUUCACAUUUAAAGAGCACUUGUGGACUCUGAAAAAUUGUUUCAGCCUUUCUUAGAAAGUACCAUCUGCCACAUGCCACUUUCAUAGUAGAUACUCUCUGGGGGCAGUAACAUGUUAUAUAAGCCCUAUCCACUUUGUGCUUAUUCUCUAAGAGGUCUAUUUCUUGGCUUCUUCCCCUGAGUUAUUGUUGCUGGUUUUCUGCUGUUUCUCUUUUCAGGCCUCCAAAUGAACAACCAACCAAGCUGUCCACUGCUUUAUAUAUGAGGCAUUAUAUAUUCUUACCUCAGCCUCUUCUUACACACAAUAUGUGAUCCCGGCAAUUCUGAUCUUUGGGUGGGUUUUCCCUUCAUUGCUGUCUUUGAAGGCACCCUUUCAUGGACUGCAGCGGAGGUACAGUACUUUUUUCAUUUAUUCAUGUAACACAACCCAUCUGUGAAUCUAGUUAGAACUUAUAAGUUCUAACUAUAAGCUUAUAAGUCAUGAGUAUGGGCUGAGGGAUAUGAGUAGGUGCCACAGGGUCAAUGCAGUGUCUGGACCAUCUCUGCAUAUGGUUUAUCUACAUAUUCUCUUUUUACUUGUAUUCCAUCUCAAAUAUACUGCUUUCAUCUAAUAAUGGACUGAUAUAGGACCUGCCUGAUCUUAUGAAUUAGCCAACAUAAUCUGGCUCAUAAUGAAUAUUUUUGGCAACAUGGUCUCUUAAUAGCCUAUUUGCAGGCAUGUUGCCUGGACAAGGGCUCAAUAGAAUGCCAUAAACUGCUUUUCAAAUGAUUUGUAAUUCUCUAUUGCAAAAGGCUUGCAAAUGAUAAAAAAAAAAAAAACCUUCAGAGUUUAUGCUGUGAUAUUCCUACUGGUUCUUCUCAUGAACACGAGAUGCUAUCUUGUCCCACCAGAUAGUUCUAGUAUCAUGGAGUUUGUGGGGUCAUAGGAUCCAAGCUGCUGGGUUUCUGUAGUGGAACCUGUGUACUUCCUAUAAAGAAUUUUGCUGCUGUAGGCCUUAUCUCUAUCCAGCAUCCUUCUGUAGCACAGGGUAAAUAGGUUAGAGAAGUACUCCCAGGAUGGGGUAUGUCCUCUCCAGAAUCCAAAGAGGCCUGCUAAGGAGUGUGCUUCCUUCUUAUUGAUGGGUAAUGUGAGAUAUAAUAGUGCGUCUUUUCCUUUGGAUGCAUUGUCUUCCCAUGACUCAGGCCUCAGACCUAAAAUAUUCACUGAUGAGGAUUUAUUUUAUGUCCUGUGAGCCCUUGUGUCUUACUAGUGCUUCCAAAGUGCUUGCCCCUUUUUGCUUGUCUGGUCCCCUUUUGGAUGUCCUUGAUAAAAUGGAAUGUAAUGUUCUUUAUAAUAUCCAGUAUGUUUAGUUUCCAGACUGCCAAGCUAUUUUGUGACAGAGAACAACAACAAAAAGUGAUCAAAAGCUUGGUUAGGAGGGUAGAUGUGUAUUGCUGCCUGUCCCAAGUGAAUGGAAACUGCUUCUGACUCCCCUUCUUGAUGGAGAUGACAAGAUUGCUUUUACUAGUUCAGUUGACCUGAAGUUGUAUUAAUCUGCUCUAGCACAUACACCACAACCUGCUAAACACCCACAGUUGGGGCUCCAUGGUUUCAACCCAGCUACUGACAUAGUUAGUUCAACUUCCGGUAUCCAUCUGUCUGUUGUAUCCAUAAGACUGGUGAAAAAUUGGAGGUAAUAGUGGGACUACAUCUGUCUCAUUUAGGUCUUUAAGGGUGUUAUAAUAUCUUCCAUUACUCUCUGAAUUCAGUAUUGUCUCUGAAUUGUGGUCUUGUCUUAAACUGCUAAGUCCCAUUAUCACAGAUAUGGGACACCUUUAAAAACUUAAACUGAACAACAGAUACACCACUUAUGGUAACCUUUGCAAUAAAUGUUGUGUUUUAAAAGAAAAGUAAUAGGUGCUAAUUAGAGCAUUUGAAUAUAUAUGUAUAAAAUUCUGAUUAUAUAUAUUAUAUAUUAUAUCUGAUUAGAGCAUUUGAAUAUAUAUAUAUAUAUAUAUAUAUAUAUAUAUAUAUAUAUAUAUAUAUAUAUAUAUAUAUAAUUCUUUUAUAUAUGUGGAAAUAAAUGUGAAGGGUAAAAAAGCUCUAAAUUAUGGUAUACAACAUAUUUUAAUGAAUCUGUGUUGGUUUCCUUUAAAUAUUCAUAGAAUCAAAAACUUGAGACUUAAUGAGUUCAGAUGAGACUGUAGAUAAUUUAGAGAGUCCCUCACCCUGGCUGCCACUUCAACUGUGUACCUUCUUAUGAUAAUUGUGCCCACAUUGUAUCUGUUAGUUUAAAAUCUAAAAUGACCUCUAUUAUUUAGGGAUCCUGUCAUUCCCACUGCUGUCAGGGAAUCCAGACCUGCAUUGACAUCUCCUGCUGUGAUUUCUGACCUCGGCAAUAUGGAGAUCCCUGUUACUGAUGCCGAUGUAGUCAGCUGGUAAUUUUUAAAAAUUGGGUUUAGGGAAUAUAUAUACUCAAACAUUCCCACUUCUCUUAAUCUUUAAAAAUGUUCUUAGUCCUCUAUGAUAAUAGUGCAUUCUUUGGUCUGAUUAAACCCAAUUUUUUAACGGAGCCUCAUGAUAAAGAACAAUAUUGACUGACUCCCCAUCCCAUGUAGCCAUUUGCUUUUGUAAAAUUUUAAAAUGCUCCAUUGUCACGCCCUGUAUUUCUGUAUCUUGCCAAUAAUAUGUUUGUUUUCCAAAGUGGUUGUCAUGCACUGAAUUAUGUCUUCCCAUCAAGGUAAAACCUCCAUAUGAUUCGUUUUGGAUGUGGAGCCUUUAAGGAAGUAAUCAAGGUUAAAUAAGGGUGUAAGUGUCUUCCUCUAAUUCAGUGGGAUUGGUGUCUUUAUCAGGAGAGGAGAGACACCAGGAUGGUAUGCACAGAGAGAAAAGUCCAAGGAUGCAC